rnacentral:rRNA from 1 species
CACGUAGGCGGCUUGGUAAGUCAGGUGUGAAAGCCCGGGGCUUAACCCCGGAAGUGCAUUUGAUACUGUCAAGCUUGAGUAUGGGAGAGGGAAGUGGAAUUCCUGGUGUAGAGGUGAAAUUCGUAGAUAUCAGGAGGAACACCGGUGGCGAAGGCGACUUCCUGGACCAAUACUGACGCUGAGGUGCGAAGGCGUGGGUAGCAAACA